CACGUAGGCACCAAGCGUUGUCCGGAUUUAUUGGGCGUAAAGAGCUCGUAGGCGGUCUGUUGCGUCCGCUGUGAAAACCCGGGGCUUAACCCCUGGCUUGCAGUGGAUACGGACAGACUAGAGGUAGGUAGGGGAGAAUGGAAUUCCCGGUGUAGCGGUGAAAUGCGCAGAUAUCGGGAGGAACACCGGUGGCGAAGGCGGUUCUCUGGGAUCUUCCUGACGCUGAGGAGCGAAAAGCGUGGGGAGCGAACAGGAUUAGA
rnacentral:rRNA from 1 species